CCUACGGGCGGCAGCAGUGGGGAAUAUUGCACAAUGGGGGAAACCCUGAUGCAGCGACGCCGCGUGAGUGAAGAAGUAUUUCGGUAUGUCAAGCUCUAUCAGCAGGGAAGAUAAUGACGGUACCUGACUAAGAAGCGCCGGCUAACUACGUGCCAGCAGCCGCGGUAAUACGUAAGGAGCAAGCGUUAUCCGGAAUUACUGGGUGUAAAGGGAGCGUAGACGGCAAUGCAAGUCUGACGGGAAAGUCCGGGGCUUAACCCCGGGACUGCAUGGGAAACUGUCCAGCUGGAGUGCAGGAGAGGUAAGCGGAAUGCCUAGUGUAGCGGUGAAAUGCGUAGAUAUUAGGAGGAACACCAGUGGCGAAUGCGGCUUACUGGACUGUAACUGACGUUGAGGCUCGAAAGCGUGGGGAGCAAACAGGAUUAGAUACCCCUGUAGUC
rnacentral:rRNA from 1 species